rnacentral:rRNA from 1 species
GACGACGCUGGCGGCGUGCCUAAUACAUGCAAGUAGGACGAGUUGCGAACGGGUGAGUAACGCGUGGUAACCUGCCUAUUAGAGGGGGAUAACUAUCGGAAACGAUAGCUCAUACCGCAUACUAGUAGAUGGAUCUGCGUUGUAUUAGCUAGUAGGUGGGGUAAUGGCCUACCUAGGCGAAGAUACAUAGCCGACCGGAGAGGGUGAUCGGCCACACUGGGACUGAGACACGGUCCAGACUCCUACGUGAGGCAGCAGUGGGGAAUAUUGCACAAUGGGCGCAAGCCUGAUGCAGCCAUGCCGCGUGUGUGAAGAAGGCCUUCGGGUUGUAAAGUACUUUCGGCGGGGAGGCGUUACCCGCAGAAGAAGCACCGGCUAACUCCGUGCCAGCAGCCGCGGUAAUAC